UACGAAGGGGGCUAGCGUUGUUCGGAAUCACUGGGCGUAAAGGGCGCGUAGGCGGCUUUAUAAGUCGGGGGUGAAAGCCUGUGGCUCAACCACAGAAUUGCCUUCGAUACUGUAGAGCUUGAGACCGGAAGAGGUAAGUGGAACUGCGAGUGUAGAGGUGAAAUUUGUAGAUAUUCGCAAGAACACCAGUGGCGAAGGCGGCUUACUGGUCCGGUUCUGACGCUGAGGCGCGAAAGCGUGGGGAGCAAACAGG
rnacentral:rRNA from 1 species